UCGCAUAUAAUCAUUCAACCCGCUCGACUUUGUCAAGUGGCACAGCAAGAAACAGCACUGGCUUCUGGAAAUCAGAGAGCUGAGGAAUCAGAAGUUCGCUUCGUCCCCGAAGUACAUGCAAACGGUACCCAGGUCUCCCGAUUCCCAGAACAGGGCUCUCGAACAGGCUUCGCCUUUCUCUCUUCAGGACCCCGCGGCACCCGACCCCUCCUCCGAGGGUCUCCGCGCGAGGAAGAGGCGCUGCGGCGGGCCGGCCCCGGCUCCGAGGGAGGGGCGACGACAAAACCGUAGCAGCUGGGCACCGCCGACUCGACACGCACGGCGCUGCCUGCGACACCUGGCGGCGCCUUGCAGCCAGCGCCCGCCGCGCCGGGCCCGCGUGACGUCAACAGUCCGCGCCGCGGUCAGACCCCUGUGGGCUCCUCUCUAGGAAGGCGGGAGCGGCUCCCUCUCGGUGCUUCCUGCCCGGCCCAGAGCUGGGGGUUCAGCCCGACACCGGAGCCCCAGCUGCAGAAACAGCCGUAAACCCACCUCACCGCGCUCCUUCCCAGAAUUCCAGCUCGUCCUCUUUGACCUGCAUUGGCUUCACGGGACCUUGCCAGCCUUCAAGGCCCUCAUCACCUCUGCUGCAAAACUUCAUAUCUUACUGAGACUUGCUCAGGAAAUACUUGCACAUACAGGCUCCUCUUGAGUGUAUUCCUGAGAUGAAGGCAUGGGUGGCAGGGCACCUGAUACACUUACAGACAUUCUUACUGAUGUGCAAGCUCUGGGAAAUACAGUUGUCUACUGUACAAUCCAUAGGGGGCACUCAAUAAACACUGGAAAAAAAUGAA